rnacentral:rRNA from 1 species
AUUGAACGCUGGCGGCAUGCCUUACACAUGCAAGUCGAACGGCAGCACGGGCUUCGGUCUGGUGGCGAGUGGCGAACGGGUGAGUAAUGUAUCGGAACGUACCUUUCAGUGGGGGAUAACGUAGCGAAAGUUACGCUAAUACCGCAUAUUCUGUGAGCAGGAAAGCAGGGGAUCGCAAGACCUUGCGCUGAUUGAGCGGCCGAUAUCAGAUUAGCUAGUUGGUGGGGUAAAAGCCUACCAAGGCGACGAUCUGUAGCGGGUCUGAGAGGAUGAUGCGCCACAGUGGAACGGAGACACGGGCCAGACUCCUGCGGGAGGCAGGAGUGGGGAAUUUUGGACAAUGGGGGCAACCCUGAUCCAGCCAUGCCGCGUGAGUGAAGAAGGCCUUCGGGUUGUAAAGCUCUUUCGGCCGGGAAGAAAUCGCAUGGGCUAAUACCCUGUGUGGAUGACGGUACCGGAAUAAGAAGCACCGGCUAACUACGUGCCAGCCGCCGCAGUAACAC